CGCGUAGGUGGUUCUGUAUGUCUACCGUGAAAGCGUACGGCUCAACCGUAUUUUGUCGGUAGAAACUGCAGGACUUGAGGCUGGGAGGGGGCUGGUGGAAUUCCCUGUGUAGCGGUGAAAUGCGUAGAGAUGGGGGAGAACACUCGUGGCGAAGGCGGCCAGCUAGACCAGUUCUGACACUGAGGCGCGACAGCGUGGGGAGCAAACA
rnacentral:rRNA from 1 species